UUAUAUAUAAAGGAUAUUAAAAUAGUUAAAACGUAGUAGUGUCUUAUAUUUAAACAUAGGGUUUUGCUAACCAGUGCCCCCGAGGCACUAGUUAAGGAACCAAAAGAAGAAAUAAAAUAAAAGUUAUGCAUGGAAAACAUCAAAAUAUAAACUUUUGUUGUAUUAACUACACUAUUUCCAAAUAAAACUUUCUAAAUUUGAAUCAUUAACAAGUGCCCCUGGAGCACUAUUUAGCAUUUGCCUUAAACAUAUCUAGAAUGGGAGUGCAAUUGCCCUUUACUUUGAAGUUGCAAAUCUCAAAAUUCAUUAAUUCCAAAGUGCAGGAAAAUUUAACCGUGCACGAAUUAUUUUGUUAACUUUGCAUAUUGGUGCAUGCACAAAUAGAAAAGUAUAGGGUCACACUCACACACAGGUAAUUUAUAUGCAAGUCACAAUCUCAUUAUACAUCACAUAAUCAACUCUC
rnacentral:lncRNA from 1 species